rnacentral:lncRNA from 1 species
UUGAAGUCAGUGGCUGGAGUAGUUGUGGGCCAGAAACAUCCUCCUCAGCCCAGGAGAAGUGGCAGCUGAUGUAUUUUAAUUACUGGGAGUCAAGAAGUUGUAGGGAUAAGAAAUGAGUUCAGCUGAGCGAUCAGCUGGAGGUCAGGGAUGGAGGAAAGACCCAGGGUGUGUGAGAUUCUGAAGUAGAGUGGUGAACAGGUGUGGGAUGGAUGUCAGGGAGAGGUGAGGGUAUCUGGAGGGUUUCCAAACAGCCAGGCCUUCAGGAUGGCCACAGCAAAACUUCCAGUUCUGAAUGGUUUUGUGGAAAGAACAUGGCACCUGGAUCUUGGAAGACAUGAACUGAAAUUUCAGUUCAAGCAUUCUAUAGCCAUGAGACCUGGGGGAAUUGGGGCAAGUUAUUUCACAUCUUUGAUCUUCAAUUCUCUCAUCUUCAAAAGGAGACUAAUGAUACUAGGGUUAAGUGAGAAUUUAAAAAAUAAUGCAUAUAAUGCACUACAUAAAUAGAAUCUUCUUCCUUUCCCUUUCUCCUACUUGGAAAUGGCUGAGAGCAAAGAUGCAGUUCUUGCAUCCCAUGACCACAGAGUUCUAGGACUGCAGCCCUGGGCAAGAGGUUCCACCUUGGCUGCUGGAGUUUUCUGCAACGAAGAACUUCAGUGAGUGUUCAGGGCAUGCCUGCAGAACCCUGGUCCUUCUGUUUGGACCAGUGCUCCAAAUCUGUAGGCCUUUGGGCCGUAAUUUAGAAGCUAUUUCUAAAUUUUUGAAGGUCUUCUGUCUAGUCCUGAGGCCUUUAGUCUCAGAGAAUUAAAUUGUCUUACCCAGGGUCGGUCAUACAGACUGCCAAAGCCUGGCCUGGCAUCCAGGUGCAAUGUUCAUCUGUGUUACCAGUUCCUCCAUGCUAACCUGACAAUGACUCACAAUUCCUUAUAGCACAGUGUUCCAAAGUCUGAGCCACAGACCACCUGUACUAGUAGCAGCCGGUGGGCUUGAUAAAAAUGCAGAUUCCUGGCUCCCUGACAGUCCCGUGCUAUCAGAUUCUGUAAAGUUUAAAAGUAAUGAUUUAUAAAUUUCCCAGACCCGGGUUAUACUUUUAUAUGGAAACAUAAUGCCUGAAUCUGACAGAGCGCUUUUUCAUGGAGGAAAGUUGGGACUCUUGGGCAGACUUCCUGUUGCUUUCGUACUCUACAGGUGUUCCUGACCCUGGAAGAAGAGGAUUUAUCUGACUCAACUGGAGAUGGCUCCCUUCCCUUAUUUAUUGUUGCAUCCUGAAGCUUCCCCCAUGCUGGGCUCAGUGUGAACAAACAGCGCGGGAGAAUGCAACCACUGCAGAGGCAUAUGUUUGAGAUACCUGGCCACUGGAGGUCAUCUCGUCUACUAUAUUCACCGCAGAUAAAGAAUGAAAAGAGAAUACACAACCUUGUGAUUGCUAGCAGUGAAAGCUCAGAGUUAUGACAUAACAGAAUUGGCUCAUGUGACUAUGGAGGCUGAGAUGUCCCAAGAGCUGGAUACCCAGGAGAAGCAAAGGGUACAAAUUGAUCUGACUUGAUUUGUCAGAGAGCCAGAACUGCAGGCAAAUAGACGCCAGAGAAAUCAACCAAUCUUUUAAGCCAGCAGUAAUUGUUCCUCCUGUCGGCUGGCUAAAUGACUUGUAUCUGGAGGAGACGCUCAGAAUGAAUCAGAAUGCUUGAGGUGACAGAAACACAGAGCAUUCCAAAGUGGGCUGUAACAGAAGUGGUUGAUCAUACUGUAAAACUCAAAUGUGAAGGGAAGGCUGGAACCUACUGGAAACUGAAGAUCUAACGAAAAGAAGGAACUUUUAGGAACUAGCAGAGACUUCAAAAUGUUGAGAACUCUCUUUUUUCAUAAGAGAAGAUAAAAACUCUGAUGGUCACACUCAUAAAGACAAAAAACAAAUAAAAAACAAACAAAAACUCAGAAUCACAAGAGCAAAGAAAAUGUAGGUAAAACAAUAACAGAAGAGGUAAAGAAAUUUAUGUGAAUUGGGACACUCUGGGGCACAGAACAGAAGAGGAGAAGAAACAUGAAAGUAAUGCUCUGCACAAGGAUGUCUGACUGUCCUUGAUUCCAAGGGCAUUUAAAAUUAGCCACUGGAUGAGAACCAUGAAAUGCCAUGACUCUUACAGCUCCCAUGAAAGACAUUGGAUGGAACUUAUCCUAACUGGACCAAAUUCUAAAAAAUUUUACAUGAUAUUAUAAUGAGUUGAAAGUUGAAAAAAAAAAGCUCUUCUAGAUUACCAAGAAUAAAACACAAAUUUCUAGCUGACUGAAUUAAUUCUCAUCUCUCUAUAGAAAGAUCAUAGAAAUUUUUUUUAUCAUGCAAAGAAAUAGCUAAAAAUUUACAAAAAUAUAGACGUGCAUUAGGCAGCUCAUGAAUAAAUGCGUUUUUUCCUUUUUUCCUCCAGAAUUUUGUGAUGUUUAUGGUACUUUUCGGCUUUUAAAAUUUUGUAUUUAAUCAGGAUUUAUUACUUCAUUGUAAGUAAAUAUUAAAUUUGUACUCCAUCUUUGUUUGUAAUUUUGUAUAUUUUUCAGUAAAAAGGACUCCCCAGAUUAUGUAAGCUUUAGGCCCCACAAAAUCUAGGCCUGUUGCUGUAUCCUUUCUAGAGCAGUGUUUCUCAAACUUCAAUGUGCAUUUGAAUCUCCUGGGGCUCCUGUUAAAAUAUAGCUUCUGAGAUGAUGCAUUUCUAACAGACUCCCAGGGCUGACACUGCCCAUCUGGGGACCACACUUUGAGAAUCAAAUAUCUAGAACAAUGGUUCUUACCUGGCUGUGCAUUGGGAUCAUUUAUAGUGCUUUUGGAAAAUACAUUGUGUCCAGGUCCCACCCAGUUCUCAGUAGGCUUGGAAUGGGGUCCUACACUUUUUUUUUUUAACUCCACAGUUUGGGAAAGAAGCCUUUUCAUAUAUUGUUGGUGGGAAUACAAAUUGAUACAGCCAUUUUUGAGCUUGAUUUGGCAAUAUCUUCCUUGGAGAAAUCAAAAGCCAGUUGGCAAGCCAGUCUGGAAAAGGCAGUUUACUGAUUCCCACCCGAGGGUCACAAAGCAGGUAUAGAAGGAUGGGCUUUGGCUGAAAUAUAUGAUGGGUACAGGUAUAUUCUCUAUAAUCCAGUAUUUCCACUGCUGAAAACGUAUCCUAGUAACAUUAUACAUAUCAAGCCUACAUAUAAAGUUGGUCAAUUCCAUAUUAUUUGUAGUAGGGGAAAACUGAAAGCAGUCUACAUGCCCAUCAAUAGAUUAUUCAAAUUAUGGAACAGUUUUCCAAUGACAAAACAAUAGCUAAUCUUAGUUAAGCAAUUAUUAUGUUAUGUAAGGUAGACAUUGUUCUACCUUAUUUAUAAGUAUUAAGUUAGUUUUUAUAACUAUCAUAUUUCCAUUUUACAAAUGACAUAAUUUAUAUUAUUGACAUGGGAAGAUGUCCAAGGAUAUAAUAAGCAAAAAGCAAGUAGCAAAACAUUAUGUAUAUUAUGCAUUACCAUUAUAAUAUACUAAAAAGUAAUGCACUUGAUUCUGAUGCACACUCCCCAGUAGGUAACAACUUAUCUAGUGUAAAAAUGAAAGAACAUUCUGGGCCGGGCACGGUGGCUCAUGCCUGUAAUCCCAGCACUUUGGGAGGCCCAGGUGGGCGGAUCACAAGGUCAGGAGAUCGAGACCAUCCUGGCUAACAUGGUGAAACCCCGUCUCUACUAAAAAUAC